GCGGUGGAGCAUGUGGUUUAAGUUCGUAUGAUACGCGAGAAACCUUACCAGGGCUUGACAUAUACAGGAAUGUUGUAGAGAUACAGCAGCCGCUUGCGGUCUGUAUACAGGUGCUGCAUGGCUGUCGUCAGCUCGUGCUGUGAAGUGUUGGGUUAAGUCCCGCAACGAGCGCAACCCCUAUCAUCUGUUGCCAGCAUUUAAGGUGGGGACUCAGAUGAGACUGCCGGUGACAAACCGGAGGAGGGUGGGGACGACGUCAAGUCAUCAUGGCCCUUAUGUCCUGGGCUACACACGUGCUACAAUGGCCGGUACAGAGUGAAGCGAAACCGCGAGGUGAAGCAAAACGCAGAAAGCCGGUCUCAGUACGGAUUGGAGUCUGAAACUCGACUUCAUGAAGUUGGAAUCGCUAGUAAUCGCGCAUCAGCAUGGCGCGGUGAAUACGUUCCCGGGCCUU
rnacentral:rRNA from 1 species